GACCCAGUGACCCCCGCAAUUGCACCCCCGCCCCAGCUGUGUCUCACUUCUUUCCAGCCCCGCGGUCCGUCAGUGCCCUCUCCUCCAAACCCCAGAUGCGAAAGUUUGCAUUGGAAAAUUCGCAAGUGUGGGAGCCCCACGGACUAAUUCCCUCAAACCGAGACCCACUGGGGUCUGAUUAGGAGGAACCGCACGGCACCAGGGCCCUUAGCUUGGGCAACCCGGGAACCCGGCAGUGUGAUGUCCUUACCUAUUGCUGACUUAGCCGCCCCUGGCUGCGAUUUGACGGAGUGUGGCCAGAGUGAGGAGCCUUUCGCGGGCUCAGGUUCCACCAGCUCCCGCAGGCGAACUGCGCACCGCUUAGAGUCCGAAGCCAGCAGCCAGCUCGCUUUCUCCCUUGAUCUUGCAAGAGAAAAGCAAAAGAUCAGUUGGCGCCGUGGCGCUGGAGGGGUGGGGCGGGGGAGGCGGGGAGACCACGGACCCGAAGGUUCUGGCGAUGCCAGACUGACACAGCCAACACCCGACAGGUCACGCCAGUCCUUGGCCAGUUGGUUAGUGCGGGACCUUUUCGCUGGUUAGACUGGAGUGAAAUUGCUGCUGCCCGCCACCCUGAACAUCAAACCACCAGGAGGAGAAGCAAAUAAGACUUUCAAACCUGGUCUUCAGGAAGAUGAUUGUGGAGAUGGAAAAAGAACGGAGACCUGGAUGUAUAGAAGAACUGGGCGGGAUUCAUUUCUUCACCCAAGUGCCCAAGGAAGUAGUAAUUAGUGUCGGGGAGCGCGUCUUCACUUCUCGCAAAGCCUCUGGCGAUUUCCUAGUGGAAUCUGGGACUUCAAGGCUCUGGCCAACCCGGCACGCUGGAUUAGUUGCUGUUGAAGGAGCUCCUCCAAUGAAAUCCUCUCUGCUCUCUGAUUUGGCGGUUCUUCUGAGCAAAUAUGACAGCCUUUUCUCCAGGCUCUUUUCUGCAUCUCUCCAUGUCCACCCCCAGAGCCCUGCUCUCCAUCUGCAAUUUCUACACCAGAACCUUUGCAGUCACCACCACCACCCCCAAAGUCCAUGCCUGCAACUGCAUGGUUGCUGCAAAAGUGACAUGACAGUGUGAAGAAGGCAGGUGGCUUGUUGAUUGCAGAAGACACUUAAGCCCCGUUUUUGCAGGUGGGGAAAUGAUAGAAUACAUACACUGUACUUUGUACUGAAUAUGCAAUCAUGGUAAACUGCUCAGAUUAUCUAUUUCUUUGGGACAUUGGCUAAUGUAGUAGAAGGACAGAGGAGUUUUGUUGUUUGUUUUUGCUUUUAUAUUUUACAUAGAGGCCAGUGACUAUGUUUUCUUUCAACUACUGGGAGGUAGUAGUCUACAAAGUAUGUUUGCUUCAUUGGAUAACUGUAAUGCCUGUAAUAACAAAA
rnacentral:lncRNA from 1 species